rnacentral:rRNA from 1 species
GAUGAACGCUGGCGGCGUGCCUAAUACAUGCAAGUCGAACGAGGUCUUCGGACCUAGUGGCGAACGGGUGAGUAACACGUUGGUACCUACCCCGAAGUGGGGAAUAACUGCCCGAAAGGGUGGCUAAUACCGCAUAAUACCGCAAGGUUAAAGCAGUAAUGCGCUUCGGGAGGGGCCUGCGUCCCAUUAGCUAGUUGGUAGGGUAAUGGCCUACCAAGGCGACGAUGGGUAGCUGGAUCGAGAGGUUGACCAGCCACACUGGGACUGAGAUACGGCCCAGACUCCUACGGGAGGCAGCAGUAGGGAAUUUUCCACAAUGGGGGCAACCCUGAUGGAGCAACGCCGCGUGCAGGAUGAAGGCUCUCGGGUCGUAAACUGCUUUUCUCUGUGAUGAUUAUGACAGUAGCAGAGGAAUAAGGAUCGGCUAACUCCGUGCCAGCAGCCGCGGUAA